GUUGCAGACCUGGAGCAGGCAGAUGCACGGCCCAGACAGUUUCACGCCCCUGUUGUUACUGAUGCGUCCAGUAGGGGGAGGCUGCUGUACAGUAUGAGCCAUCAGAACAGAAGCGACACAAAAAAGAGGGCAAAGACAUGUACACUGCCAACAUGCAUGCCACAACCCCCAAGCCUACUCUCCAGAUAAUGCUACCAUGAAGGAUGCCCUUUCCUACAUGAACACAAGUCACCAUCCCAGACCAUUAUCUGUUAUGUGUAUUGAAGCUACUCUAAAGAGAGAUCCUCCUUCUAGUCUCCCUGUAUAGUAAUCAAAGCCUGGUUUUGGAGAUGACCAGCACAGAGACAUCUUUAGGUCCACAGCUAAGAGACGAUUGCCACGUUCCUAUGGCAUAUAACGUCGACAUUAUGCCCUCUACACCUUGCUGAACACUCCAUUCAAUUUCCUUCAGCUUGACAUUCCUGCAGGCAGAGUCUUAUUGAGCAGUUUGAGACAAGAGGGGUAUGUUGUAGGGGAAUUUACAGUAAAGACCCUCGGACCAGGUGUGUAAAUUCAUUAUGGAUGUCCUUUUUCCAGAGUCCAUUAUCUGUGCCCUGGCUUUUGUGGAAAAUCUGUCCAUUCUAAAGGCUGAGGAGAAAUUUCAGCGAAGACCUGUCAUUUACAUAAGGUACUGUAAGGAUACUAUAAAGGAAAACAUUUCUUUCAACAACUAUCUAACUUUUGUUUAUCAGUGAGUGGGAGCAUUUUUACAGGAGGACAGAGCAAUAAUUAAAAGAGAGAGUCAUCAAUGGGAGUCAUCCUAGUUCAUGUUUUUAAUAAAUGGUGUUAAUAAAUAAUGUUGUACACAAAAGUUGGCUUUUUCUUCUCAGAUGGCUAAAUGGCCCUUGGAAUUUUAGAAAAGGGUGAAUUGUGUUUGUCUUUGUAGGACACUGUUCUGUUGCUGUAUGACAACCAAUAGUGUAUAUUAAAGCAUAAAUAUUGAAUAAAUAUUUAAUUGAUGGUCCAUAUGAUUACACUGUAUGCCUGAUGGGCUAAAUAUGGUUAAUAACUGAAUGUAACUAUAUAUAAAUUCACAACAACAUAUCACUCCAUCUCCUGUAUAUAUGAAAACCUACAGUGAAUAUUAGGCUACAGUAGAUCAUGUAUCAUUACAUUGUCCAUUUGAUCCAAAUAUGUGCAUUUUUGUAUUUACUAAUUAAAUGUGUAAUGUUUUCAAAAACACUAAUUGAGUUGUCUCCUGUAUAGGCUAUGCAUGUAGGCCAACAAUGAAUAUGUAGAGAUUUUAAUCCGUAGUGCAGAUCAUCUGAUAUCUUAAUGUAAUUUAUUUAAAUUCACCCACACAGAAGAAAAAAAAACAACAACUCUCAAUUAGUCAAUGUCUAUGGACGGGAGUUGAGUGUCGUUUUUUUUCCCGCUGUAUAUCCUCCUCCUAGACGCAUCAGGAACAACAGGGGCGUAAAACUGCCUGCUCCAGGUCUGCAGCCUCCCCGUAUAACCCCAAACUGCUAAUCGACUUAACACUUUUGAAAUAAAGAAAGUUAAGCCUUGGUUAAAAAUACUAUUUUUAACUUGUCCUCCAAAACAGAGACUGGACUUUAUUACUGGCAUUGUUAUUGAUAAACCCACCAAGAGCCUAUAACUCAGCUAAUUUAAGAUAAAUUACAUUAACUUUAUUACAGAGAAAG